rnacentral:rRNA from 1 species
UGAGGAAUAUUGGGCAAUGCCCGAAAGGGUGACCCAGCAACGCCGCGUGGAGGAUGAAGGUCGUAAGAUUGUAAACUCCUGUUAGAGGGGAAGAAUAACUAAGUUUGGAGCUUAGUAUGACUGUACCCUCAGAGAAAGCCCCGGCUAACUACGUGCCAGCAGCCGCGGUAAUACGUAGGGGGCAAGCGUUGUCCGGAUUUACUGGGUGUAAAGGGCGCGCAGGUGGAAUGGAAAGUCAGUGGUGAAAUCCUACAGCUUAACUGUAGAACUGCCUUUGAUACUUCCAUUCUUGAGUUCGGGAGAGAGAGACGGAAUUCCAGGUGUAGUGGUGAAAUACGUAGAUAUCUGGAAGAACACCAGUUGCGAAGGCGGUCUCUUGGUCCGAUACUGACGCUGAGGCGCGAAAGCGUGGGGAGCAAACA